CAUGUGUGCGAACUGCCAUGCUUCACAGCAGUAAAACAUGGGCUGUGACUGCUGAAGACAUACAUAGGUCUGAAAGAAAUGAAGCUAUCAUGAUUCGCUGGAUGUGUAAUGUCAGUGUGUACACACAACAGAGUAUAAGUUCUUUGAGAGAAAAGUUGGGCAUAAGAAGCAUCAGAUGUGCAAGAGAGGCAACUGCACUGGUGUGGUCAUGUGAUGCA